UCGUGUGGAAGAAAUUAUAAUUGUUUAAUUUAAUUAAGCAUCAUAUCCCCUUUAUAUAUUUUCUUUUUUUUUUUCUUUUCCUAUGACAAGACUUGUGUAGUAUUUCAUAUGAAAUAUAUACAUUGGAAUUAUAAUACGCCACCAAACAAACAAAUAAAUAUAAUUGGAUAAAAAAUUAAGUCAGGAUUUGAAUCGGAUCAAACUUUUUUGCAAAUCAAGAACAGAUUUCUAUAUUGAAAAAACGAUAUUUUCAAGCUUUCCGGAUAUAAUUUGACCGAUCCAGGCCGGGUUUUGAUCAAGCCGGACCAAACACGGCCUCAAUCUACCAACAGAUAUAUAGAUAUGUAGAAUGCAUUACAAUGUAUUAAAUUAAGUUACAAAGGAGUAUAUUCUUCAAUAUAUAUAUAUAUAUAUAUAUAUAUAUAUAUAUAUAUAUAUAUAUANNN
rnacentral:lncRNA from 1 species